AGUCGACGGAUCUUCGGGAUAGUGGCGGACGGGUGAGUAACACGUGGGAACGUGCCCUUUGGUUCGGAACAACUCAGGGAAACUUGAGCUAAUACCGGAUAAGCCUUUCGAGGGAAAGAUUUAUCGCCAUUGGAGCGGCCCGCGUAGGAUUAGCUAGUUGGUGGGGUAAAGGCCCACCAAGGCUACGAUCCUUAGCUGGUCUGAGAGGAUGAUCAGCCACAUUGGGACUGAGACACGGCCCAAACUCCUACGGGAGGCAGCAGUGGGGAAUCUUGCGCAAUGGGCGAAAGCCUGACGCAGCCAUGCCGCGUGAAUGAUGAAGGUCUUAGGAUUGUAAAAUUCUUUCACCGGGGACGAUAAUGAAGGUACCCGGAGAAGAAGCCCCGGCUAACUUCGUGCCAGCAGCCGCGGUAAUACGAAGGGGGCUAGCGUUGCUCGGAAUUACUGGGCGUAAAGGGAGGGUAGGCGGAUAGUUUAGUCAGAGGUGAAAGCCCAGGGCUCAACCUUGGAAUUGCCUUUGAUACUGGCUAUCUUGAGUGCGGAAGAGGUAUGUGGAACUCCGAGUGUAGAGGUGAAAUUCGUAGAUAUUCGGAAGAACACCAGUGGCGAAGGCGACAUACUGGUCCGUUACUGACGCUGAGGCUCGAAAGCGUGGGGAGCAAACAGGA
rnacentral:rRNA from 1 species